AGUCGAACGGCAGCACGAGAGAGCUUGCUCUCUUGGUGGCGAGUGGCGGACGGGUGAGUAAUAUAUCGGAACGUGCCCAGUAGCGGGGGAUAACUACUCGAAAGAGUGGCUAAUACCGCAUACGCCCUACGGGGGAAAGGGGGGGAUCGCAAGACCUCUCACUAUUGGAGCGGCCGAUAUCGGAUUAUCUAGUUGGUGGGGUAAAGGCUCACCAAGGCAACGAUCCGUACCUGGUUUGAGAGGACGACCAGCCACACUGGGACUGAGACACGGCCCACACUCCUACGGGAGGCAGCAGUGGGGGGAAACCCUGAUCCAGCCAUCCCGCGUGUAUGAUGAAGGCCUUCGGGUUGUAAAGUACUUUUGGCAGAGAAGAAAAGGUAUCCCCUAAUACGGGAUACUGCUGACGGUAUCUGCAGAAUAAGCACCGGCUAACUACGUGCCAGCAGCCGCGGUAAUACGUAGGGUGCAAGCGUUAAUGUGCAAGCGUUAAUCGGAAUUACUGGGCGUAAAGCGUGUGUAGGCGGUUCGGAAAGAAAGAUGUGAAAUCCCAGGGCUCAACCUUGGAACUGCAUUUUUAACUGCCGAGCUAGAGUAUGUCAGAGGGGGGUAGAAUUCCACGUGUAGCAGUGAAAUGCGUAGAUAUGUGGAGGAAUACCGAUGGCGAAGGCAGCCCCCUGGGAUAAUACUGACGCUCAGAC
rnacentral:rRNA from 1 species